rnacentral:lncRNA from 1 species
GACAAUUCCUUUCUUUACCUAAGUUCAGUUCCACAAUUUAAACUUUGGUUCCAACAUUGCACGUGUGUUUCGCAUUAACAUGUAUGAAAUGCUAUGAUUUCAUGAUUUGUUGAUUGAUUCGUCGUUGUUUAUGCUUGAUUGAUGCAUUCAUUUUAUAUGUUCCAGUUUCAAUGGUUUGUUUCGCAUUUUUUGUUCAUUAUGAUUGAUUAAUGAAUUCAUUUUCGCCCUGAAAUGUCAUUUUGGCUGCCCACAUGAAGUGGGUAGAGAUCUAUGUGCACGAGGACGAUUACGACAAACUACGUUCAUCAAUUGACUUCCAUGAUAGCUUUGAUCAGAUUGUUGUUAUUAUUGCUUAUUUAUCUAUAAUGUAUGACUGCUUUUCACAUUACUGGGGUGACAGGAGAAAUAAUGAAUUUAUAUGAGAUAUGCGAUAGUUGUUCAUCGUUCGACGUUGUUGAAUGAAGUCAGAAUAUUUGUUAAUGCGUAGUCUUAUUCUUCACAUUUCUAUGUUCGACAAUUUAAUCACCGACACGUACUUGAACUUCGGUUUGGUAAGGCUGCUACCACUGUGUAAUAUGAUUCAAAUGAAGAUGAAAGCUGGUUUGAUAAGGUUGCUACCACUUAACAUUUGCAUAAAUCUUUUUGGUAUCUUUUCCCUUAAAAAAUAUUUCAAAAAUGAGGAGUAUCAUGAUUAAUAGUAGUUUCAAAAGCAUUAUUCACUUUGAUGAUCAUGUUGUUUUUAUCAUUUAAAAAAGAGUAAGCGAUUCGAUUAAAAAAAAUUCGUAAUAACUAACCUCUCAAAAUUGAUGAUGAAUCUAAUAAUAAUGUCUUAUUGAUCAAGAAAUGAAGAAGAUAGAUGAAGUGAGGGUUUGUUGAAUAUAUUUC